GAUGAAGAACGUAGUGAAAUGCGAUACUUGGUGUGAAUUGCAGAAUCCCGUGAACCAUCGAGUCUUUGAACGCAAGUUGCGCCUCAAGCCAUUAGGUUGAGGGCACGUCUGCCUGGGCGUCACAUAUCGUUGCCUGAUGCCAGUUUCCUCGUGAUGGGUGACUGUGCAGGGCGAAUGAUGGCUUCCCGUGAGCAUUGUUGCCUCAUGGUUGGUUGAAAAUUGAGUCCUUGGUAGGGAGCGCCGUGAUAGAUGGUGGUUGAGUGACGAACGAGACCCAAUCAUGUGAGACCCCUACCGAAUUUGGCCUUCAUGACCCACAUGCGUCUUUGGAACGCUCAUGACGAGACCUCAGGUCAGGCGGGGCUACCCGCUGAGUUUAAGCAUAUAAUAAGCGGAGGA
rnacentral:misc_RNA from 1 species